AUUGAACGCUGGCGGCAUGCCUUACACAUGCAAGUCGAACGGUAACAGGUCUUCGGAUGCUGACGAGUGGCGAACGGGUGAGUAAUACAUCGGAACGUGCCCGAUCGUGGGGGAUAACGAGGCGAAAGCUUUGCUAAUACCGCAUACGAUCUACGGAUGAAAGCGGGGGAUCUUCGGACCUCGCGCGGGCGGAGCGGCCGAUGGCAGAUUAGGUAGUUGGUGGGAUAAAAGCUUACCAAGCCGACGAUCUGUAGCUGGUCUGAGAGGAUGAUCAGCCACACUGGGACUGAGACACGGCCCAGACUCCUACGGGAGGCAGCAGUGGGGAAUUUUGGACAAUGGGCGAAAGCCUGAUCCAGCCAUGCCGCGUGCAGGAUGAAGGCCUUUGGGUUGUAAACUGCUUUUGUACGGAACGAAAAGCCUCUUUCUAAUAAAGAGGGGUCAUGACGGUACCGUAAGAAUAAGCACCGGCUAACUACGUG
rnacentral:rRNA from 1 species